GACGAACGCUGGCGGCGUGCUUAACACAUGCAAGUCGAACGGAAAGGCCCUGCUUUUGUGGGGUGCUCGAGUGGCGAACGGGUGAGUAACACGUGAGUAACCUGCCCUUGACUUUGGGAUAACUUCAGGAAACUGGGGCUAAUACCGGAUAGGAGCUCCUGCUGCAUGGUGGGGGUUGGAAAGUUUCGGCGGUUGGGGAUGGACUCGCGGCUUAUCAGCUUGUUGGUGGGGUAGUGGCUUACCAAGGCUUUGACGGGUGGCCGGCCUGAGAGGGUGACCGGCCACAUUGGGACUGAGAUACGGCCCAGCCUCCUACGGGAGGCAGCAGUGGGGAAUAUUGCACAAUGGGCGGAAGCCUGAUGCAGCAACGCCGCGUGCGGGAUGACGGCCUUCGGGUUGUAAACCGCUUUCGCCUGUGACGAAGCGUGAGUGACGGUAAUGGGUAAAGAAGCACCGGCUAACUACGUG
rnacentral:rRNA from 1 species